rnacentral:rRNA from 2 species
GGGUGGUAAUGCCGGAUGCUCCAGUUGAUCGCAUGGUCUUCUGGGAAAGCUUUCGCGGUAUGGGAUGGGGUCGCGUCCUAUCAGCUUGACGGCGGGGUAACGGCCCACCGUGGCUUCGACGGGUAGCCGGCCUGAGAGGGCGACCGGCCACAUUGGGACUGAGAUACGGCCCAGACUCCUACGGGAGGCAGCAGUGGGGAAUAUUGCACAAUGGGCGCAAGCCUGAUGCAGCGACGCCGCGUGAGGGAUGGAGGCCUUCGGGUUGUAAACCUCUUUUAUCGGGGAGCAAGCGAGAGUGAGUUUACCCGUUGAAUAAGCACCGGCUAACUACGUGCCAGCAGCCGCGGUAAUACGUAGGGUGCAAGCGUUAUCCGGAAUUAUUGGGCGUAAAGGGCUCGUAGGCGGUUCGUCGCGUCCGGUGUGAAAGUCCAUCGCUUAACGGUGGAUCCGCGCCGGGUACGGGCGGGCUUGAGUGCGGUAGGGGAGACUGGAAUUCCCGGUGUAACGGUGGAAUGUGUAGAUAUCGGG